UGUCCGGCGCGACGCGCAGGAACGCGUUCGGCGCGAACGCGCCGGCCGCGUCGCUGGCGGGUGCGGCCGGCGCGGUCGCGCCGAGCGCCGGGCGGC
rnacentral:tRNA from 1 species